CUAUAGUCAAACAAAACAAAUCCUAAAAUUGUCUUAUUUUCAUUCAGGAAGGCUGCGAAUGCGGAGAAAGAGCCGAUCGAAAAAGAAAGGAUGAUAAGAGAGGAACAGAUGGUUGACUUCCAAGUGACUGAAAUAGAAGGGCUGAUGAGUGUCAAUAUCAGGACCAUAGACGGCAGUAAGAUAUAAAUAUUUUUUAUAACUUUCUUGCUCCAAGAGUAACAAAUAGGGAUAAUGUUGAAGCAUAUAUGCGGUUUAAAGUGUCCUGGGGAGUGUUUAUAUCAGAUAUUUCUAUAUCAUGCGCGCUUUCACAAAAUUAAAAAAAAAAAACUCGUACUUUGUUGAUCACUGUAGCCAAUGGCAUGACAUUUACAGUUGUCUUGACCAGCGUAGAGCAUAUAUGAAGUUUGCGUUAUUAGGUUACCUUCCAAAAAUAAAAAACAGCUAUCCAUCAUUUACUGAAGUAACUGUAAUAUCAAUAUUCCAAAACGCCCUGCAUAUUACUAGCACCGCUCAAUGGAAUUAUAUUCUUGUACUGAUGUAUUCGGUCAAGAGAAUUUUUCAUGAGAUGAACA